UAUUAUUUUGAAAUAAAAAAUGACCCAAACCGAUUAAUCGAUUACAAAAACAGUUGGCGAUUCAUUUAAUAGCC